GGGUGACAGCCCCGUACACAAAAAUGCACAUGCUGUGAGCUCGAUGAGUAGGGCGGGACACGUGGUAUCCUGUCUGAAUAUGGGGGGACCAUCCUCCAAGGCUAAAUACUCCUGACUGACCGAUAGUGAACCAGUACCGUGAGGGAAAGGCGAAAAGAACCCCGGCGAGGGGAGUGAAAAAGAACCUGAAACCGUGUACGUACAAGCAGUGGGAGCACGCUUAGGCGUGUGACUGCGUACCUUUUGUAUAAUGGGUCAGCGACUUAUAUUCUGUAGCAAGGUUAACCGAAUAGGGGAGCCGAAGGGAAACCGAGUCUUAACUGGGCGUUAAGUUGCAGGGUAUAGACCCGAAACCCGGUGAUCUAGCCAUGGGCAGGUUGAAGGUUGGGUAACACUAACUGGAGGACCGAACCGACUAAUGUUGAAAAAUUAGCGGAUGACUUGUGGCUGGGGGUGAAAGGCCAAUCAAACCGGGAGAUAGCUGGUUCUCCCCGAAAGCUAUUUAGGUAGCGCCUCGUGAAUUCAUCUCCGGGGGUAGAGCACUGUUUCGGCAAGGGGGUCAUCCCGACUUACCAACCCGAUGCAAACUGCGAAUACCGGAGAAUGUUAUCACGGGAGACACACGGCGGGUGCUAACGUCCGUCGUGAAGAGGGAAACAACCCAGACCGCCAGCUAAGGUCCCAAAGUCAUGGUUAAGUGGGAAACGAUGUGGGAAGGCCCAGACAGCCAGGAUGUUGGCUUAGAAGCAGCCAUCAUUUAAAGAAAGCGUAAUAGCUCACUGGUCGAGUCGGCCUGCGCGGAAGAUGUAACGGGGCUAAACCAUGCACCGAAGCUGCGGCAGCGACGCUGAUGCGUUGUUGGGUAGGGGAGCGUUCUGUAAGCCUG
rnacentral:rRNA from 1 species